rnacentral:lncRNA from 1 species
CAUCCGCAAGGUCACCCUCUGCUCCCUCCCCAUCGGCAGGGAGGUGCUUCCAUUGGGGGCUGAGAGAACCAGGCCCCACAGGCAGAAGGGCUCCAGUCACGACAAGGGUGAGAAUGUCUCCUAUGCGAACGUGGACGACAAGGAGCCGAAACCCCCCUCACUGGACAAGCAAAAAGUCGACUAUGACUAUGUCAACAUGUCGUAGCCGUGUGGUGCCAGGGACCAGCCGCCUCUAUCUCUGCCCCCCGGCGGGUCCCUCAGUGGGGCCCUGGAUGCGGGUGGGGGCUCUCAGAGAUCCCCGGAUAGAAGACGUGGCCCUUGCUGCCCUGCUAGCCUGGCACUGGGCUCCCCAGCAGGGCCGAGUACACUGCCCCACAGCACAGGGCUGGGCUCCCCAGAGGGGCCGAGCAGGCUGCCCCACAGCAUGGGGCUGGGCUUCCCAGUGGGGCCGAAUACGCUGCCCCACAGCACGGGGCUGGGGUCUCUAAUCUGAGCACCAGGUCUGGCUUGGCUGGUGCAGCCCAGUCCAGAAGGGGAGCUGCAGAGGGGAUCUGCCCAGCCCUUUGCGGGAGGGGAUGGUGCUAUGGGGUGGGGGCAGGCACAGAUCUGUCGUCUUCCCCACACCUCCCCCGGGCCUAACUCGCCCGCAGCCUCCCCCAUUGUUUAGGGGCUUCCAUCUUGGUGAACCCGGGGACGUCACAGUCCCACAUCCACCCCUGUUCCAGGGCCCCGUCUGUCCACACCUGGGAUCAUGGUGUGUGCAUAAAACCGUCCCAAUAAAUUGGGG